rnacentral:rRNA from 1 species
AACGAACGCUGGCGGCAUGCCUAACACAUGCAAGUCGAACGAGAUCUUCGGGUCUAGUGGCGCACGGGUGCGUAACGCGUGGGAAUCUGCCCUUUGGUUCGGAAUAACAGUUGGAAACGACUGCUAAUACCGGAAGAUGACGAAAGUCCAAAGAUUUAUCGCCAGAGGAUGAGCCCGCGUGGGAUUAGCUAGUUGGUGUGGUAAAGGCGCACCAAGGCGACGAUCCUUAGCUGGUCUGAGAGGAUGAUCAGCCACACUGGGACUGAGACACGGCCCAGACUCCUACGGGAGGCAGCAGUGGGGAAUAUUGGACAAUGGGCGAAAGCCUGAUCCAGCAAUGCCGCGUGAGUGAUGAAGGCCUUAGGGUUGUAAAGCUCUUUUACCCGGGAUGAUAAUGACAGUACCGGGAGAAUAAGCUCCGGCUAACUCCGUGCCAGCAGCCGCCGCAG